rnacentral:tRNA from 1 species
GGUUGUGGCUCAGUGGUAGAGCAGUCGCCUGGCAUGCGUGAGGCCCUGGGUUCCAUCCUCAGCACCA